CGGCGGCUAAUACCGCAUACGCCUUACGAGGGAAAGAUUUAUCGCCCUGGGAGGGCCCGCGUUGGAUUAGCUUGUUGGUGGGUAACGGCCCACCAAGGCGACGAUCCAUAGCUGGUCUGAGAGGAUGAUCAGCCACACUGGGACUGAGACACGGCCCAGACUCCUACGGGAGGGCAGCAGUGGGGAAUAUUGGACAAUGGGGGCAACCCUGAUCCAGCCAUGCCGCGUGCGUGAAGAAGGCUUUAGGGUUGUAAAGCGCUUUCACCGGUGACGAUGAUGACGGUAACCGGAGAAGAAGCCCCGGCUAACUCCGUG
rnacentral:rRNA from 1 species